AUGAACGCUGGCGGCGUGCCUAAUACAUGCAAGUCGAGCGAACAGAUGAGGAGCUUGCUCCUCUGACGUUAGCGGCGGACGGGUGAGUAACACGUGGAUAACCUACCUAUAAGACUGGGAUAACUUCGGGAAACCGGAGCUAAUACCGGAUAAUAUAUUGAACCGCAUGGUUCAAUAGUGAAAGACGGUUUUGCUGUCACUUAUAGAUGGAUCCGCGCCGCAUUAGCUAGUUGGUAAGGUAACGGCUUACCAAGGCAACGAUGCGUAGCCGACCUGAGAGGGUGAUCGGCCACACUGGAACUGAGACACGGUCCUGACUCCUACGGGAGGCAGCAGUAGGGAAUCUUCCGCAAUGGGCGAAAGCUUGACGGAGCAACGCCGCGUGAGUGAUGAAGGUCUUCGGAUCGUAAAACUCUGUUAUUAGGGAAGAACAAAUGUGUAAGUAACUAUGCACGUCUUGACGGUACCUAAUCAGAAAGCCACGGCUAACUACGUG
rnacentral:rRNA from 1 species